rnacentral:rRNA from 1 species
CCUACGGGAGGCAGCAGUGAGGAAUAUUGGUCAAUGGGCUUAAGCCUGAACCAGCCAAGUCGCGUGAGGGAUGAAGGUUCUAUGGAUCGUAAACCUCUUUUAUAAGGGAAUAACGUGUGGUACGUGUACUCUGUUGUAUGUACCUUAUAGAUAAGGAUCGGCUAACUCCGUGCCAGCCGCCGGGGUAAUACGGGGGAGCCGAGCGUUAUACGGAUUUAUUGGGUUUAAAGGGUGCGUAGGCGGCAUUUUAAGUCAGCGGGGAAAGUCUGUGGGUCAACCAUAGAAUUGCCGUUGAAACUGGGGGGCUUGAGUAGGUGUGAGGCAGGCGGAAUGCGUGGUGUAGCGGUGAAAUGCUUAGAUAUCACGCAGAACCCCGAUUGCGAAGGCAGCCUGCCAAGCCAUGACUGACGCUGAUGCACGAAAGCGUGGGGAUCAAACAGGAUUAGAUACCCUUGUAGUC